UACGAAGGGGGCUAGCGUUGUUCGGAAUCACUGGGCGUAAAGCGCACGUAGGCGGAUUUUUAAGUCAGGGGUGAAAUCCCGAGGCUCAACCUCGGAACUGCCUUUGAUACUGGAGAUCUUGAGUCCGGAAGAGGUAAGUGGAACUGCGAGUGUAGAGGUGAAAUUCGUAGAUAUUCGCAAGAACACCAGUGGCGAAGGCGGCUUACUGGUCCGGAACUGACGCUGAGGAGCGAAAGCAUGGGGAGCGAACAGG
rnacentral:rRNA from 1 species